AGGAUUCCCUCAGUAACGGCGAGUGAACAGGGAAGAGCCCAGCACCGAAUCCCCCGGCCCUGGCGGUCGGCGGGACCUGUGGUGUGUGGGACGGCACUUGGGGCGGCGGCUGGCGUCCGAGUUCUCCUGAUAGGGACUUGCCCAGAGCGGGUGUUAGGCCUCUAGGGCGCCCGGCCGCCGUCUCUCGUGGACUCGUCCCCAGAGUCGGGUUGUUUGGGAAUGCAGCCCAAAGUGGUGGUAAACUCCAUCUAAGGCUAAAUACGGACACGAGACCGAUAGCGAACAAGUACCGUGAGGGAAAGUUGAAAAGGACUUUGAAGAGAGAGUUCAACAGUACGUGAAACCGCUCAGAGGCAAACGGAUGGGACCACAAAGUCGACCCGCGGAAUUCAGCCGUGCGCGGGCGCGAAGCCGGGGGUGAGGGGUUGGACUGCGGUCUCUUCCUCCGCCCCCGGAUCCCAGCGCCUGCCGCGGUGCACUUUCCGCGGGGAGAGCGCCACGACCGGUUGUCCGGCCGCCUCAAGCCUCCCCGGAAGGUAGCUGUCGCCCCUCGGGGUGCCAGUGUUACAGACGGGGAAGUGUGUUGGCCGGCCGGGUGACCGAGGUAACACCGCCGCGUCAGCUCUAGUGCUCGGGCGCCCCCGCCCCUCGGCGAGUUCGACCUGGACGGACUGAUCUCAGUGCGUCCUGACUGCUUCGCCGUUGCCUCUGGCUGGGGGACCGCUCCCGUGCGGACGCAAAGGGUCGGUGGCGAAUCGGUUGGCACCCCACCCGACCCGUCUUGAAACACGGACCAAGGAGUCUAACAUGUGCGCGAGUCACUGGGUUCUACGAAACCCAAAGGCGGAGUGAAAGCGAAGGGCCCUCGCGGCCCCAGGUGGGAUCCCCUCUCCCCUUCCGAGGGGUUGGGGCGCACCACCGGCCCGUCUGGAACUUCUGACACGAAGUCAGGCGGAGCAAGAGCGUACACGUUGGGACCCGAAAGAUGGUGAACUAUGCC
rnacentral:rRNA from 1 species